AGAGUUUGAUCCUGGCUCAGAGCGAACGCUGGCGGCAGGCCUAAAACAUGCAAGUCGAACGAACCCUUCGGGGUUAGUGGCGGACGGGUGAGUAACACGUGGGAACGUGCCCUUUGGUUCGGAACAACUCAGGGAAACUUGAGCUAAUACCGAAUGUGCCCUACGGGGGAAAGAUUUAUCGCCAUUGGAGCGGCCCGCGUCUGAUUAGCUAGUUGGUGAGGUAAAGGCCCACCAAGGCUACGAUCAGUAGCUGGUCUGAGAGGAUGAUCAGCCACACUGGGACUGAGACACGGCCCAGACUCCUACGGGAGGCAGCAGUUAGGAAUCUUGCGCAAUGGGCGAAAGCCUGACGCAGCCAUGCCGCGUGAAUGAUGAAGGUCUUAGGAUUGUAAAAUUCUUUCAGCGGGGAAGAUAAUGACGGUACCCGCAGAAGAAGCUCCGGCUAACUUCGUGCCAGCAGCCGCGGUAAUACGAAGGGGGCUAGCGUUGCUCGGAAUUACUGGGCGUAAAGGGCGCGUAGGCGGAUGACUAAGUUGGGGGUGAAAGCCCGGGGCUCAACCUCGGAACUGCCUUCAAUACUGGUCAUCUUGAGUUCGGGAGAGGUGUGUGGAACUCCGAGUGUAGAGGUGAAAUUCGUAGAUAUUCGGAAGAACACCAGUGGCGAAGGCGACACACUGGCCCGAUACUGACGCUGAGGCGCGAAAGCGUGGGGAGCAAACAGGAUUAGAUACCCUAGUAGUCC
rnacentral:rRNA from 1 species